UCCGAGUUGACCCCGGCAGUCUCCUAUGAGUCCCCACCAUUACGUGCUGGCAACAUAGGACGAGGGUUGCGCUCGUUGCGGGACUUAACCCAACAUCUCACGGCACGAGCUGACGACAGCCAUGCAGCACCUGUGCUGGUACCCGACUCUACGGGUCGCCGACCCUUUCGGGUGACUACUGCCAGCAUGUCAAGCCCUGGUAAGGUUCUUCGCUUUGCAUCGAAUUAAGCCACGCGCUCCGCCGCUUGUGCGGGCCCCCGUCAAUUCCUUUGAGUUUUAGCCUUGCGGCCGUACUCCCCAGGCGGGGCGCUUAACGCGUUAGCUGCGGCACGGAAGGAGUCGACACCGCCCACACCUAGCACCCAUCGUUUACGGCGUGGACUAC
rnacentral:misc_RNA from 1 species